rnacentral:tRNA from 1 species
UCCUGGUUAGACCAGUUGGUAGAGCGCUCCACUUGAAAUGGAGAGGUCCCUGGUUCGAUACCAGGACCAGGCG